rnacentral:tRNA from 1 species
GCCACGGUGUUGGAAUGGUAGACAAGCUGGUCUCAAAAACCAGUGGCUGCAUAGGCCGUGAGAGUUCGAGUCUCUCCCGUGGCA